GUGGCAGCUCCACGCUUCCAUAAUUUGGUAAUCAAAAUAUGUAACUUAAUUGAUUAUAUUGUGACGUACUUUUGCCUUUUCUUAUUAUUCUGCCUUCUCAGAAAGGGAAAAAAAUACAAAUAAAACUGUUUUACACUUGUUAUAUACAAUAACUAUCAAAACCUAUUCACAUUUAAUUUGGCUUUCACAGAAAUACCACCUGUCCUUCUGGCUACAGAGUACUUACCAAGCCCAUGAAAUCGAAUGCAGAUCUUCCUGAUGUGAGAUUUACAUAAAUAUGUCAAAGUCUCAACCUCAUGCUGCCCUCCCCCAUCCUCCUAAACCUGUGGAUACAAAUGCAGAUUUCCUUAAUGUUCAAUGGUGCGUGUUCUUCUAAUGGCUGCCUUCCCACUGGAGGUUUUGAUCCACAGCAAUUUAAAAGGAGGACAGAGCAAAACGGACAUCGGCGCAGAGCGAAGAACUGCCCUUCAUAAGGACACUAUGACAGCCAUAUAUAUGGCGGUAAGGAAGAGGUUUCCCAAUGUGUCCAGAAGGGCUUUGAGGAUUGCAGUGAAAGCUGGGGGAACUGAGACUGCUGGAAAAGGAAAAGAAAUUACAUUUUAAGUAUGUUGACUUAUGUUCAUACAAUCACACACACAUAUACAC